UAAUACGUAGGGGGCAAGCGUUGUCCGGAUUCAUUGGGCGUAAAGGGCGCGUAGGCGGCUUAGCAAGUCGGAUGUGAAAGCUCCAGGCUCAACCUGGAGAUGCCACCCGAUACUGCUAUGGCUAGAGUCCGGUAGGGGACCACGGAAUACCUGGUGUAGCGGUGAAAUGCGCAGAUAUCAGGUGGAACACCGGUGGCGAAGGCGGUGGUCUGGGCCGGAACUGACGCUGAGGCGCGAAAGCGUGGGUAGCGAACAGGAUUAGAUACCCUGGUAGUCCACGCCGUAAACGUUGGGCACUAGGUGUGGGGCCUUAUCAACGGGCUCCGUGCCGCAGCUAACGCAUUAAGUGCCCCGCCUGGGGAGUACGGUCGCAAGACUA
rnacentral:rRNA from 1 species